UAUCUCUCCGUACGGGGAAGGAUGAGAAGCUUCGACUAAGGUUCGAUUCGAGCGCAGCGAGAAAGCGUUGCCGCAGGCAACGACCCGAAGGGCGAAGCGCG
rnacentral:sRNA from 1 species